rnacentral:rRNA from 1 species
GACGGAGGAUGCAAGCGUUAUCCGGAAUGAUUGGGCGUAAAGCGUCCGCAGGUGGCCGUUCAAGUCUGCUGUCAAAGACCGGGGCUUAACUUCGGAAAGGCAGUGGAAACUGAACAGCUAGAGUAUGGUAGGGGCAGAGGGAAUUCCUGGUGUAGCGGUGAAAUGCGUAGAGAUCAGGAAGAACAUCGGUGGCGAAGGCGCUCUGCUGGACCAUAACUGACACGCAGGGACGAAAGCUAGGGGAGCGAAUGGG